GAAGCUUUUUUCAUCCAUCACUGGGGACAGCAGCACCACCAUCCCUCCCCCCACAAGYUUUCCUGGCACUUGUUACCAUAGUAGCGAAUCRACCAAUGAAGCUCAAGGAGGCUGCUUUGCAYCAACGCAAAUGCGGCAGAUUCCUUUAGAUGCAUUCARACAGCUUUGCACUCCYARUGAARCCGAACAACAAGACAAAGAUGACAMAGAACCUUCCUCAUCAAGAAGAAAGUAUGUUCAGCACUGCCYCUCGUCUGAAGCCAGUCAUUUGUCAUCGAAAUUCCUUAUAGACACGAUGGCGUCGCAUAUUGAGACSAAGCCUGAAUUUCUUGAAGAAAUAAUUGUUAAGCUGGAAAAGUUUUUGAUUCAGUGGGAUUGACUUGUGCUCGUCUCCCAUUGCAUAUUUAUAUUGUUUAAUUUUGGUAAAAGAAAAGUAGAGUAAAAUUGUGGUUUGAAUUUCUUAAAAGAAAAAUGGAAAACAAAGUUUACCUUCUGAUUCCUUGUGAUUUUUUGGAUGUGGUGAGCGCUUGACGAUGAUUUUGGUUCCAAACAUUCUCAAGGUCGUCAUGGUACUUACGUCCAGCUGGGGGUCUCGCGCAUCCUGGCCAGCUCAUUGGUGUUGCCACAGCUUUUUGCUCUGCUACCUUUGGCGUGAAUGAACGUUGCUUGUGGAAAGCCAUCCACGCGGCUUGUCCUUGUCGAGUUCCAUUGCUGAACGGAAAAGAAAUAGAUCAAUCAAUAUUACCAAUAAAUAGUCCUAAUUGAUAUUAAAGAGAGUUUUUCUACAGCUAUUUAGCGCACAGUCUUGAGAAUGCUAAAAAAUAUAAAUAAAAUAAAAUAAAGGCCACAUCCGAUACACGCGAAUUCUUCCUACAGUGGACACCAAUCCAUCGCAGGCUAUGCCYAAGUAUGUUACGUUGCUCUAACAAUUCUGAUUUGUGAAUGAAAAAGUACCAUCUUUAAACACGUGUUGUAUCGGAUGUGGCCUUUAUUUUAUUUUAUUUUUUUUUUCUGUUAACAGAAAGCUAGAAUYCUAUAACUAAUGGUCUUAUAUGAUCAUUUAUGAUAAUAUAUUAUAAUACAUUACAAUAUUUCUCCGUUUACGCUAUACAAACAAGUCAGUUGAACUGUUUCCAAAAUAAAGCAAACAUGGCCAGAUUUACAGACCAGAAACCUAAAGUAAUUARAACUUGGAUCACUAAACGAAACAAUAUAAAGAUCACAUUCAAAGAAGAAGGGAUUAACGCUUCUAUUUGAAUUCCCCAAAUCCUCAAGCAUUUGAUCUCGAAUUGUAUGCAUAGCGAUCACCACAAGAGCUAUCUGUAAACACUACACUGAUUUACUCGAUGCAGUCUAAGGAUUAAUAAUAAAAAGUGCGAAUUUUUUAAGAAGCGAUUUGAUUGUAGCCUGAUCGCAAUAAUUAAGGUGUUUGGUAAAAUUAAGAUGUACACUCAAAUGUCGUUUUUACAGUAGCCAUGGCAACUACCUUCAUAAACUAUGUUUGGAUUUUUGUAAAUAAGAGAACUUAUUGUCGAAGGAGCCAGUAUUAAUGGAAUUUCAAUUUUAAUAACCCGAGUAAAUGCAUUUUUUUCGUUUAGUGAGUAUUUAUAAUGAGCAAUUGUUUAUUAUGAGGUACAUUGGCUUCUCUAUGUUGUCACGCAUGUAUUCCAUGUUCUUUUUCCUUUGGCGUUUGAGUGUAAAUUAAGUUUGUUUUARACUUUUUCAAUAAAUACUCGGACUCGAUUUUUGUCGUUGCAGAUACACACGAUGCGAUUACUUUAAGACAUCGUGUUUAUACAAUUUUUUCGGAGUGCCUCUUUCCGCUCCAACACACGACGAGAUCCUCCACUUUAUCAAAUUAUUUUCUCGCUUAAAUGAAGUUAGAAAUAUAAAAAAGCAGAUGUUUGAUUAUUAACUGUACUAACCUUGGAUACCAAGGUAACGUYUAACGAAGAAGCAACAACAAUCCAUUAUGAAUCUCUAGCAUUUCAUCGCACACGAUGUGUAAAGUUUAUUUUAGAAUCCGUUUACUAACUCUAAUCUUCAUUCCCUAAUUACCCAUAUUAACAAUGUGAUAAUAACAUACUAGGUGAUAGGAGUUAUAGCGUAAUAGAAUGGCACAUGGUCUGUUAAAAAGCUCACCUCAUGAAAAAUCCUUCAAA